rnacentral:lncRNA from 1 species
UGAUAUUGAAAAGUAAGUUCUUAUUAGAUGUCAUGUGAUAAGAAGCUCCUGAAUCUAUUAUCCAGGAGACAGAAGCAAUAUGAGUAAGUAGGCAGAGUUUGGAAUCAGAAACAGGACUCUCAGUAAGCAUAGUACCAGCAAAGUUGGCAGCACACAUAGUAGGAGAGGUCUGAGCAGGAGAAGUCUGAGCAGUGGAGUCACCCAAUUUGGACUGUUGCAGACGAUUCAUCAAUUGAUCAUAAUGUUGCCUGCUCAAUCCAGGAAUUA